rnacentral:rRNA from 1 species
GUUAGGAAUAUUCGUCAAUGGGGGAAACCCUGAACGAGCAAUGCCGCGUGAAGGAAGACAGUCCUCUGGAUUGUAAACUUCUGUUGUUAGGGAAGAACGACCUGUGUAGGAAAUGACAUAGGAGUGACGGUACCUUUCAAGAAAGCUCCGGCUAACUACGUGCCAGCAGCCGCGGUAAUACGUAGGGAGCAAGCGUUAUCCGGAAUUAUUGGGUGUAAAGCGUGUGUAGGCGGGAAAUUAAGUCUAAGGUCUAAGCCCGGAGCUCAACUCCGGUUCGCCUUAGAAACUGAUUUUCUUGAGUGUGGUAGAGGCAAACGGAAUUUCUAGUGUAGCGGUAAAAUGCGUAGAUAUUAGAAGGAACACCAGUGGCGAAGGCGGUUUGCUGGGCCACUACUGACGCUGAGACACGAAAGCGUGGGGAGCAAAUAGGAUUAGAAACCCUAGUAGUCC